rnacentral:rRNA from 1 species
GGGCUCGUGGAAUCCGGUGUGAAUCUGCCAGGACCACCUGGUAAGCCUAAAUACUUCCUUGUGACCGAUAGCGGACUAGUACCGUGAGGGAAAGGUGAAAAGUACCCCGGGAGGGGAGUGAAAGAGUACCUGAAACCGUGUGCUUACAAUCCGUCGGAGCCUUGAGGGGUGACGGCGUGCCUAUUGAAAAAUGAGCCUGCGAGUUAGUGGUCGGUGGCGAGGUUAACCUGUGUGGGGUAGCCGUAGCGAAAGCGAGUCUGAAUGGGGCGUUCAGUCGCCGGCUCUAGACCCGAAGCGAAGUGAUCUAUCCAUGGGCAGUGUGAAGCGCGGGUAAGACCGUGUGGAGGCGCGAACCCACUUCAGUUGAAAAUGGAGGGGAUGACCUGUGGAUAGGGGUGAAAGGCCAAUCAAACUUCGUGAUAGCUGGUUCUCCCCGAAAUGCAUUUAGGUGCAGCGUUGCGUGUUUCGUGCUGGAGGUAGAGCACUGGAUAGGCGAUGGGCCCCACCGGGUUACUGACCUUAGCCAAACUCCGAAUGCCGGUACGUGAGAGCGUAGCAGUGAGACUGUGGGGGAUAAGCUUCAUGGUCGAGAGGGAAACAGCCCAGAACAUCAGCUAAGGCCCCUAAGCGUGUGCUAAGUGGGAAAGGAUGUGGAGUUGCUGAGACAACCAGGAGGUUGGCUUAGAAGCAGCCACCCUUGAAAGAGUGCGUAAUAGCUCACUGGUCAAGUGAUUCUGCGCCGAUAAUGUAGCGGGGCUCAAGUACACCGCCGAAGCUGUGUCACUCCAUUUUUUGUGGGGUGGGUAGGGGAGCGUCGUGUGGCCGGUGAAGCUGCGGGGGAACCCAGUGGUGGAGGCUAUGCGAGUGAGAAUGCAGGCAUGAGUAGCGAAAGACGGGUGAGAAACCCGUCCUCCGAAUGAUCAAGGGUUCCGGGGCUAGGUUAAUCCGCCCCGGGUUAGUCGGGACCUAAGGCGAGGCCGACAGGCGUAGUCGAUGGAUACCGGGUUGAUAUUCCCGUACCGAUAGUGUGAGGACCCAUACCGAGGCGUGUGAUGCUAACCACCCGAGCUGCUGCUUCCUUCCCUUUGGGUUGGUUGUUGGUGGUGAGGCUGGGAACCGAGCGCGUAGUAGGUCAGCGUGUGGGAUGACGCAGUGAGGUAGCUUCCGCGGGGUAAUGGUUGUCCCCGUUCAAGCGAGCAGCCCGAGUGCGAGUAAUGUUGUGCUCUUGUGGGUGAGUCGUGAUGAGGACCCUUUAGUGGGGUAGGUGGGUGAUCCUGGACUGCCGAGAAAAGUUCCGGCGUGACGAGCACUAUUGCCCGUACCCUAAACCGACUCAGGUGAUCAGGUAGAGAAUACUAAGGAGUUCGAGAGAAUCGUGGUUAAGGAACUCGGCAAAAUGCCCCCGUAACUUCGGGAGAAGGGGGGCCUGAGGUGUGAGAGCACUGAUGGCCGCAGAGACCAGGGAGAAGCGACUGUUUACUAAAAACACAGGUCCGUGCGAAGACGUAAGUCGCUGUAUACGGACUGACGCCUGCCCGGUGCUGGAAGGUUAAGAGGACUGGUUAGCCCCUUGUGGGCGAAGCUGAGAAUUUAAGCCCCAGUAAACGGCGGUGGUAACUAUAACCAUCCUAAGGUAGCGAAAUUCCUUGUCGGGUAAGUUCCGACCUGCACGAAUGGCGUA